GGGGGUGACUGGUUUCGACUUCGUACGUGGAGACAGGGGAAGCGAGCCGAGGAAGCCGACGUCGUCUCGAGAAUCGGUCGUCGGAAAUUUAUAAGCGCCAAGCAGAACAGCGCUGACUCUUACGCUCUCGCCGCCUGAGGCGAGUAGCGGAGUCUGUCGGUCUGGGAGUACCUCCGGCCCAGUAACCGGCAUCAGCUAGGAGGUUGGCCAACCGGAUCCGGUCGCGGGGUCCGCACGGCGAGAUUAAUCAGCGACUGGGCCCGUCACGGCAACUUGCUCACGUGAUCGCCGGGGCCGAGUAGAGGCAUAGUGAGCUGCGCUCGGAGAAGCCCUGACAAAGCAGCGAAGGACCCGGGUUCGAUUCCCGGCACCUCCAC
rnacentral:tmRNA from 1 species